GACGAACGCUGGCGGCGUGCUUAACACAUGCAAGUCGAACGGAAAGGCCCUGCUUUUGUGGGGUGCUCGAGUGGCGAACGGGUGAGUAACACGUGAGUAACCUGCCCUUGACUUUGGGAUAACUUCAGGAAACUGGGGCUAAUACCGGAUAGGAGCUCCUGCUGCAUGGUGGGGGUUGGAAAGUUUCGGCGGUUGGGGAUGGACUCGCGGCUUAUCAGCUUGUUGGUGGGGUAGUGGCUUACCAAGGCUUUGACGGGUAGCCGGCCUGAGAGGGUGACCGGGCACAUUGGGCCUGAGAUACGGACCAGACUCCUACGGGAGGCAGCAGUGGGGAAUAUUGCACAAUGGGCGGAAGCGUGAUGCAGCAACGCCGCGUGCGGGAUGACGGCCUUCGGGUGGUAAACCGCUUUCGCCUGUGACGAAGCGUGAGUGACGGUAAUGGGUAAAGAAGCACCGGCUAACUACGUG
rnacentral:rRNA from 1 species